rnacentral:rRNA from 1 species
UCUGCCUUGAAGAUCGGAGUGCUUGCACUCUGUGAAACAAGAUACAGGCUAGCGGCGGACGGGUGAGUAACACGUGGGUAACCUGCCCAAGAGAUCGGGAUAACACCUGGAAACAGAUGCUAAUACCGGAUAACAACAGAUGAUGCCUAUCAACUGUUUAAAAGAUGGUUCUGCUAUCACUCUUGGAUGGACCUGCGGUGCAUUAGCUAGUUGGUAGGGUAACGGCCUACCAAGGCGAUGAUGCAUAGCCGAGUUGAGAGACUGAUCGGCCACAUUGGGACUGAGACACGGCCCAAACUCCUACGGGAGGCAGCAGUAGGGAAUCUUCCACAAUGGACGCAAGUCUGAUGGAGCAACGCCGCGUGAGUGAAGAAGGGUUUCGGCUCGUAAAGCUCUGUUGUUGGUGAAGAAGGACAGGGGUAGUAACUGACCUUUGUUUGACGGUAAUCAAUUAGAAAGUCACGGCUAACUACGUGCCAGCAGCCGCGGUAAUACGUAGGUGGCAAGCGUUGUCCGGAUUUAUUGGGCGUAAAGCGAGUGCAGGCGGCUCGAUAAGUCUGAUGUGAAAGCCUUCGGCUCAACCGGGGAAUUGCAUCAGAAACUGUCGAGCUUGAGUACAGAAGAGGAGAGUGGAACUCCAUGUGUAGCGGUGAAAUGCGU